rnacentral:rRNA from 1 species
GACGGAGGAUGCAAGUGUUAUCCGGAAUCACUGGGCGUAAAGCGUCUGUAGGUGGUUUAAAAAGUCUACUGUUAAAAAUUGAAGCUUAACUUCAAAGAUGCCGUAGAAACUUUUAAACUUGAGGAUGGUAGGGGUAGAGGGAAUUUCCAGUGGAGCGGUGAAAUGCGUAGAUCUUGGAAAGACCACCAAUGGCGAAGGCACUCUACUGGGCCGACACUGACACUGAGAGACGAAAGCUAGGGGAGCGAAUGGG